GAGGCCAGCCGCUCAUCACGGCUGGCCAGCAAAACGUUCCGUAGGUGAACCUGCGGAAGGAUCAUUA
rnacentral:rRNA from 1 species